rnacentral:lncRNA from 1 species
CGUCCGCCGGACUCGGAAUGCGGCGAGACUUUGCGAGGGGCCUCGGGGUGCCAAAAAUAAGCCGCGGGCAAAGCCGCGCCCACAAAUAAGCGCCCGAAGGUCGUGGUGCCAAAACGCCCCAGCGGAAAAAUGGCCAAAAAACGGGUCGUGGUUCAAAAAUAUAAUCAAAACGUGAGAAAAACGCAAAAUUGUGGGUUGAGAAAGCCCACCAAGCUCCUUGGUGGCGAGCUUCCCUCGAGCAUGGGCAGCCUUUUACCACUUCUUCUAAGUUUUCAAAGUUCCGGUUUCUCCAUUUUCAUUUUUUUGAAGCCAAAACAUAGUUUCCCAUGUUCGCCAUCCCAUGUUCUGCAUCCGCGCAAAAAAUCUAGGCUUUCCAAACAAGUCCGACGCUUAUCAUCUCAGUCCAUCUCCCCAUGCUCUGUGUCGGUGCAAAAAAUCUAACCCAAAAAAACUCGAUUGCUUAUCCCCUACCCGUUGCCCUUUCCCGCAGUUCAUUAGGGGCUACCUGCGCGGGAAGUUGCCUUAAUAUUUGAAAAUAAGAUACAAAGAUUUAGCUGCAGCUUGAACCCUUUACAUGGUGGUCAAAAUCACAAAUAAAGUUUCAAACCCACCGUUGAGCCACCAUGAAUUCUUGUAACUAUUUGCACAAAUAUUAUUUAAAUCGAAAAGUAAAAUAUAAAUUAAUAAUAAAACAAAUAAUUAAUGAUUUCACAUCGUAAAUGGAUAUUUAAGUUGUUGUUUUCUGUGGUCGAAUCAAAAUUAAAACGUCUUAGGGUAAAAAAACCCCCGAGCGGAAAAAUGGCCAAAAAACGGGUGGGCUAUAGCCUUGGUGGGGGGCGCGGGCGACGUUCGUCCGCCGGACUCGGAAUGCGGCGGACUUUGCGAGGGGCCUCGGGGUGCCAAAAAUAAGCCGCGGGCAAAGCCGCGCCCAAACAUAAGCGCCCGAAGGUCGUGGUGCCAAAACCCCCGAGCGGAAAAAUGGCCAAAAAACGGGUGGGCUAUAGCCUUGGUGGGGGGCGCGGGCGACGUUCGUCCGCCGGACUCGGAAUGCGGCGAGACUUUGCGAGGGGCCUCGGGGUGCCAAAAAUAAGCCGCGGGCAAAGCCGCGCCCAGAAAUAAGCGCCCGAAGGACGUGGUGCCAAAACCCCCCAGCGGAAAAUGGCCAAAAAACGGGUGGGCUAUAGCCUUGGUGGGGGGCGCGGGCGAAGUUCGUCCGCCGGACUCGGAAUGCGGCGAGACUUUGCGAGGGGCCUCGGGGUGCCAAAAAUAAGCCGCGGGCAAAGCCGCGCCAAAAAAUAAGCGCCCGAAGGUCGUGGUGCCAAAACCCCCCAGCGGAAAAAUGGCCAAAAAACGGGUGGGCUAUAGCCUUGGUGGGGGGCGCGGGCGAAGUUCGUCCGCCGGAUUCGGAAUGCGGCGAGACUUUGCGAGGGGCCUCGGGGUGCCAAAAAUAAGCCGCGGGCAAAGCCGCGCCCAAAAAUAAGCGCCCGAAGGUCGUGGUGCCAAAACCCCCCAGCGGAAAAAUGGCCAAAAAACGGGUGGGCUAUAGCCUUGGUGGGGGGCGCGGGCGACGUUCGUCCGCCGGACUCGGAAUGCGGCGAGACUUUGCGAGGGGCCUCGGGGUGCCAAAAAUAAGCCGCGGGCAAAGCCGCGCCCAAAAAUAAGCGCCCGAAGGUCGUGGUGCCAAAACCCCCCAGCGGAAAAAUGGCCAAAAAACGGGUGGGCUAUAGCCUUGGUGGGGGGCGCGGGCGAAGUUCGUCCGCCGGACUCGGAAUGCGGCGAGACUUUGCGAGGGGCCUCCGGGUGCCAAAAAUAAGCCGCGGGCAAAGCAGCGCCCAAAAAUAAGUGCCCGAAGGUCGUGGUGCCAAAACCCCCCAGCGGAAAAAUGGACAAAAAACGGGUGGGCUAUAGCCUUGGUGGGGGGCGCGGGCGAAGUUCGUCCGCCGGACUCGGAAUGCGGCGAGACUUUGCGAGGGGCCUCGGGGUGCCAAAAAUAAGCCGCGGACAAAGCCGCGCCCAGAAAUAAGCGCCCGAAGGUCGUGGUGCCAAAACCCCCCAGCGGAAAAAUGGCCAAAAAACGGGUGGGCUAUAGCCUUGGUGGGGGGCGCGGGCGAAGUUCGUCCGCCGGACUCGGAAUGGGGCGAGACUUUGCGAGGGGCCUCGGGGUGCCAAAAAUAAGCCGCGGGCAAAGCCGCGCCCAAACAUAAGCGCCCGAAGGUCGUGGUGCCAAAACCCCCCAGCGGAAAAAAGGCCAAAAAACGGGUGGGCUAUAGCCUUGGUGGGGGGCGCGGGCGACGUUCGUCCGCCGGACUCGGAAUGCGGCGAGACUUUGCGAGGGGCCUCGGGGUGCCAAAAAUAAGCCGCGGACAAAGCCGCGCCCAGAAAUAAGCGCCCGAAGGUCGUGGUGCCAAAACCCCCCAGCGGAAAAAUGGCCAAAAAACGGGUGGGCUAUAGCCUUGGUGGGGGGCGCGGGCGAAGUUCGUCCGCCGGACUCGGAAUGGGGCGAGACUUUGCGAGGGGCCUCGGGGUGCCAAAAAUAAGCCGCGGGCAAAGCCGCGCCCAAACAUAAGCGCCCGAAGGUCGUGGUGCCAAAACCCCCCAGCGGAAAAAAGGCCAAAAAACGGGUGGGCUAUAGCCUUGGUGGGGGGCGCGGGCGACGUUCGUCCGCCGGACUCGGAAUGCGGCGAGACUUUGCGAGGGGCCUCGGGGUGCCAAAAAUAAGCCGCGGGCAAAGCCGCGCCCAGAAAUAAGCGCCCGAAGGUCGUGGUGCCAAAACCCCCCAGCGGAAAAAUGGCCAAAAAACGGGUGGGCUAUAGCCUUGGUGGGGGGCGCGGGCGAAGUUCGUCCGCCGGACUCGGAAUGGGGCGAGACUUUGCGAGGGGCCUCGGGGUGCCAAAAAUAAGCCGCGGGCAAAGCCGCGCCCAGAAAUAAGCGCCCGAAGGUCGUGGUGCCAAAACCCCCCAGCGGAAAAAUGGCCAAAAAACGGGUGGGCUAUAGCCUUGGUGGGGGGCGCGGGCGAAGUUCGUCCGCCGGACUCGGAAUGCGGCGAGACUUUGCGAGGGGCCUCGGGGUGCCAAAAAUAAGCCGCGGGCAAAGCCGCGCCCAGAAAUAAGCGCCCGAAGGUCGUGGUGCCAAAACCCCCCAGCGGAAAAAUGGCCAAAAAACGGGUGGGCUAUAGCCUUGGUGGGGGGCGCGGGCGAAGUUCGUCCGCCGGACUCGGAAUGGGGCGAGACUUUGCGAGGGGCCUCGGGGUGCCAAAAAUAAGCCGCGGGCAAAGCCGCGCCCAGAAAUAAGCGCCCGAAGGUCGUGGUGCCAAAACCCCCCAGCGGAAAAAUGGCCAAAAAACGGGUGGGCUAUAGCCUUGGUGGGGGGCGCGGGCGAAGUUCGUCCGCCGGACUCGGAAUGCGGCGAGACUUUGCGAGGGGCCUCGGGGUGCCAAAAAUAAGCCGCGGCCAAAGCCGCGCCCAGAAAUAAGCGCCCGAAGGUCGUGGUGCCAAAACCCCCCAGCGGAAAAAUGGCCAAAAAACGGGUGGGCUAUAGCCUUGGUGGGGGGCGCGGGCGACGUUCGUCCGCCGGACUCGGAAUGCGGCGAGACUUUGCGAGGGGCCUCGGGGUGCCAAAAAUAAGCCGCGGGCAAAGCCGCGCCCAAAAAUAAGCGCCCGAAGGUC